rnacentral:rRNA from 1 species
UACAGAGGUGCCGAGCGUUAGGCGGAAUCACUGGGCUUAAAGCGCGUGUAGGUGGAUCGUUAAGUGUCUUGUGAAAUCCCACGGCUCAACCGUGGAACUGCUGGGCAUACUGACGAUCUUGAGGCACUCAGGGGCUGUCGGAACAAAUGGUGGAGCGGUGAAAUGCGUAGAUAUCAUUUGGAACGCCAAUGGUGAAAACAGACAGCUGGGGGUGUCCUGACACUGAGACGCGAAAGCCAGGGGAGCAAACGGGG